ACGGUAACAGGUAAGUCUUGUACUUAUGCUGACGAGUGGCGGACGGGUGAGUAAUGCUUGGGGAUCUGGCUUAUGGAGGGGGAUAACGACGGGAAACUGUCGCUAAUACCGCGUAGAAUCGGGAGAUGAAAGUGUGGGACCUUCGGGCCACAUGCCAUAGGAUGAACCCAAGUGGGAUUAGGUAGUUGGUGGGGUAAUGGCCUACCAAGCCGACGAUCUCUAGCUGGUCUGAGAGGAUGACCAGCCACACCGGGACUGAGACACGGCCCGGACUCCUACGGGAGGCAGCAGUGGGGAAUAUUGCGCAAUGGGGGCAACCCUGACGCAGCCAUGCCGCGUGAAUGAAGAAGGCCUUCGGGUUGUAAAGUUCUUUCGGUGACGAGGAAGGUUGUUGUGUUAAUAGCGCAACAAAUUGACGUUAAUCACAGAAGAAGCAC
rnacentral:rRNA from 1 species